CAAGUCGAACGGAAAUAGAGGAGCUUGCUCCUCUUGAUUAGUGGCGAACGGGUGAGUAACGCGUGGGCAACCUGCCCCUGACUCUGGGAUAACUACUCGAAAGAGUAGCUAAUACCGGAUAUGAAACCUGAAGACAUCUUCGGGUUUGGAAAGUUUUUCGGUCAGGGAUGGGCCCGCGGCCUAUCAGCUAGUUGGUGAGGUAGUGGCUCACCAAGGCGACGACGGGUAGCCGGCCUGAGAGGGCGACCGGCCACACUGGGACUGAGACACGGCCCAGACUCC
rnacentral:rRNA from 2 species